rnacentral:tRNA from 1 species
AAAAAGAUAAGCUAAAUAAUCUACCGGGCUCAUACCUCGUUUAUGAAUAAACUCUCUUUUGA